AUGACGGGGAAGGCCAGCAUGCCCAGCAGGUACAGCGCCAUGCUCAGCAGGAUGGUGCCGAACUUGCCCAGCAGCGCGUCCGCCAGCCAGCCCCCGAACGGCGACACCAGAUGCUGCAGCAGGGAAAUGGAGUUUUACCGAAGCACACAACAGCUCGGGUCGGAAGGGACAUCGGGACAUCAUCCGGUCCUACCCUACUGCCAGGGCCGGGGCACCUGGAGCAGGUGGCACAGGAACGUGUCCAGGUGGGUUUUGAAGGUCUCCAGAGAGGGAGACUCCACGACGUCCCUUGGGCAGCUGUUCCAGCGCUCUGCCACCUCCAUGGAAAGAAGUUCUUCCUCACGUUGAGUGAAACUUCUUGAGUUUUAGUUCAUGGCCAUUGCCCCUCGUCCUGUCGCUGGACACCACUGAAGAAUCUGGCACCAUCCGCUUGCCACCCACCUUUGAGACAUUUCUGUGCAUUAAUGAGAUCCCUUCUCAGUCUUCUCUAGACCAAACAGGCCCAGCUUCCACAGUCUCUCUUCAUUACAGAGGUGCUCCAGACCCCUCACCAUCUUUGGGGCCUCCACUGGACCCUCUCCAGCAGCUCCUUGUCUUCCUCGUACUGAGGAGCCCAGAACUGGACACAGCCCUCCAGACGUGCCUCAGCAGGGCCAAGCAGAGAGGGUGUGAUUUUUAUAGCUAUUUAAUGUAUUAGUUCAGGAUUGACCAGCAGGGAGGCCUUUCUGCAGCAAAAUGUGAUAAAUGUGCGUUGUGACUUAUUUGUCUGUGUUCUGCAGCCCCUGUUGAAGGCGUGGGCACGGCUCAGUGCCCGGGGUGUGCCCAGGGACUCACCACGGAUGGGGAGCAGCAGCUGGUCCCUGAGCUGUGUUUGGGGUGUGAAGGCAGGAUUACUUGAGCAGUGCCUGCAGGAAUUAUAUAAGUACACACAGAGAAUGAACACUCUGACCUGAAUGGAAUGAAGUGUGUGAUUAAAAUGAGAAAACAAAUUAGUGGUUGCAAGAUCAGAACCCUAAGAGGUGCUGUAGUUCCACCAUCACGUGUGUUGAGGUAAACAUCAUGAAAGUAUGAAGUUGUCUUGAGCAGCAGAUCUUAAAGUCAUAUUUUUGGCCAAAACAAAGUGGAGAGGAUACUCCUGGUUGUGUGUUUUCAGUUAAAAAGGUAAAUUGAUUGACAUCAUUUAGUUACACCAAACAUCUGGGUAUGACUUAAAAUUUUUGGAGCAGCGUUGGUAAUUGAGCAAGCGAUGCUUGUAAAAGUAAAUAUAUUCAUUUAAUAAUGGGCCUUUGUAAAUAACAUGUGCCAUAAAAACGACUCAUUAAAUAUAUUUGCUCUCUUAACUAGUUAGCAAAUUUUACGACAAAGGACAAUGAGGAAAAGGCAACCAGCUGUACAGAGAUCUCUUUGUGAACUCCUGUAAUGUGACUGAUUCUGUAAUUUAAAAAAAUACAUUUCAGCUUUUCCCAGCUGAAUACAGUGUGUCAUAUCAGUUGUGAUUACAUAUUUUUGAGGAGUUUAGCAGUAUUUGCUUGAGACACAAAGUAAUUAAGCACACUUUGUGUUAUUAUGUUUUAAUAUAGGCAGAUAUUACAUUCUAGGCCCUUCAUAAUUUACUUUGGUGAGUGAGGUGAGAUUUUUAUACUGACCUAUCCAACACCUCACAAUGCUGAACAGUAUUUGAAAUGUACAUUACAAAAUGUUAUUUAAAUCUUCAGGUAUCAAAACAAAGGUACUCUCACUAAAAUUCAGAAGUUACUGUUAGAACUCAGACAUUCUCUCUGGCAGCUCAGGAAGGUGGUUUUAAUUUUCCUCCAAACAACACUCAGCUACAGUAUGUUUAAAACUUGAUUGUGAUCCAUCCUUGAUCCUUUCUUUAAAUACAGUGAAUGCACCCAUGUUUUCAGAGACACAACACUAAAUGCUGCAAAGACUUCUAGAUUGUUAUUUUUUUCAGUCAAGACAUAUAUAGCAUAAAACCCAGAGUUAUCAUAAAUAGUAAUAAAAUGUUAAGAUCUCUUU